UUGCUGUCGCACCAGUCACAUCACGGGCAUCCACAGUCAGCAUCUUCCAUGUGACUCCAAAUCCUGUGCUCACUUGACCUGCUGGGGUCCCAAAUAUCUACAAAGAAAGAGUUUAGAAGAUGGACCUGUCCUUUUCGUUCUAUUUUAUGGAGCUGCACUUGGGAGUUGUGUCUUCCAGUGGCGAGGGGAACCACACAAACAAUCCCCAGGGCCUUUGCCAUCGCUAUCCGGGGCCGCCCCUCCUGAACCACACCCACGUGCCGUGCUCCGGUGCCUUCUCGCCGGGACCACCUGCCAUGCGCCCGGCAGCCAGUGAUAGGUUCUGUGAUGGAGCCCCCAGCUGUGACAGUGAGGCCAACGCUAGGUCCGGAAAAUGGAGAGCUCCCCUGAAGAGCAGCCAGACCCUGACCCAGGGGCGAGGAGAAACGGGACACACUAGGGACGGGUUCACCUGAUGACACAAUUGUGCCUUUGGAAGUUUGUGGUG